rnacentral:snRNA from 1 species
AGCUUCAUGCAGUGGCAGUAUCAUAGCCAAUGAGGUUUAUCCAAGGCGCGAUUAUUGCUAAUUGAAAACUUUUCCAAAAGUAGUAUAUUUUUAGGGGUGAUGACAUGUGUAGCUUUCCUAAUCAGUCACUAACCAUAGAGACUGGAAAACUAAUAGUUGU